CCCUGGCUGGCUUAGUCGGUGGAGCGCACGACUCUUGAUUUUGGGUUGUGAGUUCAAGCCCCACGCUGGAGG
rnacentral:tRNA from 1 species